rnacentral:ncRNA from 1 species
AAUCUUCAGGGCAGGGUGAAAUUCCCGACCGGCGGUAACAGUCCGCGAGCGCGAGAGCGCAUGAAUGGGUGCGAUUCCCAUACCGAUAGUACAGUCUAGAUGGAAGAAGAUG